AGCGGGCGGCGGCAGUGCGGUGCGGUGCAGAGCGGAGGCUGAGGCGGCGCGCGGGCAGCUCGCGGCACCCGGCCGGGCGGGCGCGGGGGCGGGAAAGGGUGCGCUAUGCCUUUAACGCCCGCGUACAGUAGGCAUGUAUAGUGGAGUGUAGGGAAACUCUAGGCGGGGUUAAAGUUCAGCCCAUGGAGCGGCAAUAGCGCUGGCUGGCUGCAGUUGAGCCGACUUGGAAAUGUGAACGCAAGAAGCAGGCUUGAUUUUUUUUCUCCCCCCUUCUCUCUCUCUUUCCUCCUCUCUCCCUCUUUCUCCUUUCUCACCCGCACUCACGCACACCUCCAAACCGCACACCCAGACGCACACGCACACCCCAGCGCCCGGCAGUUAUGUAUUCUCCGCUCUGUCUCACCCAGGAUGAAUUUCAUCCUUUCAUCGAAGCACUUCUGCCCCACGUCCGAGCCUUCGCCUACACAUGGUUCAACCUGCAGGCCCGAAAACGAAAAUACUUCAAAAAACAUGAAAAGCGUAUGUCAAAAGAAGAAGAGAGAGCCGUGAAGGAUGAGUUGCUAAGUGAAAAGCCAGAGGUCAAGCAGAAGUGGGCAUCUCGACUUCUGGCCAAGUUACGGAAAGAUAUCCGACCCGAGUACCGAGAGGAUUUUGUGCUCACAGUUACAGGGAAAAAGCCUCCGUGUUGUGUUCUUUCCAACCCAGACCAGAAAGGCAAGAUGCGAAGAAUUGACUGCCUCCGCCAGGCAGAUAAAGUCUGGAGGUUGGACCUGGUUAUGGUGAUUUUAUUUAAAGGUAUUCCGCUCGAAAGUACUGAUGGCGAGCGCCUUGUAAAGUCCCCACAGUGCUCUAAUCCAGGGCUCUGUGUCCAGCCCCAUCACAUAGGGGUUUCUGUUAAGGAACUCGAUUUAUAUUUGGCAUACUUUGUGCAUGCAGCAGAGGAUUCAUUUCAUAGGGGUCUAUACAUCAGUCAAGAAAAUGACUACAGAGGAAUUACCAAGACUCAUAAUAAAGAUUCAAGUCAAUCUGAAAGUCCCAGCCAGCCAAGUGACGCUGACAUUAAGGACCAGCCAGAAAAUGGACAUUUGGGCUUCCAGGACAGUUUUGUCACAUCAGGUGUUUUUAGUGUGACCGAGCUAGUAAGAGUGUCACAGACACCGAUAGCUGCAGGAACUGGCCCGAAUUUUUCUCUCUCAGAUUUGGAAAGUUCUUCUUACUACAGCAUGAGUCCAGGAGCCAUGAGGAGGUCUUUACCCAGCACGUCCUCUACCAGCUCCACAAAGCGCCUCAAGUCUGUGGAGGAUGAAAUGGACAGUCCUGGUGAAGAGCCAUUUUACACAGGCCAAGGACGCUCCCCGGGCAGUGGCAGUCAGUCGAGUGGAUGGCAUGAAGUGGAGCCAGGAAUGCCAUCUCCAACAACACUGAAGAAGUCGGAGAAGUCUGGUUUCAGCAGCCCCUCCCCUUCGCAGACCCUCCUCCCUGGGAACAGCAUUCACACAGCAUCACCACCGACCGGUCAUUACGGGACCCAGAGCAAGUCCACAUGCGACACCAUCAACUCUUCAUUUUCCGACGUCACCCAUUAUCCAGCAGCCUGGGCCUUACUUCUCACACCCAGCCAUCCGCUAUCACCCUCAGGAGACGCUGAAAGAGUUUGUCCAACUUGUCUGCCCUGAUGCUGGUCAGCAGGCUGGACAGGUGGGGUUCCUCAAUCCCAAUGGGAGUAGCCAAGGCAAAGUGCACAACCCAUUCCUUCCCACCCCAAUGUUGCCACCGCCACCACCACCACCGAUGGCCAGGCCCGUGCCUCUGCCGGUGCCAGACACGAAGCCUCCGACCACAUCAACAGAAGGAGGUGCAGCCUCCCCCACCUCACCAACCUACUCGACACCCAGCACCUCCCCCGCAAACCGAUUCGUCAGUGUUGGACCACGGGAUCCAAGCUUUGUAAAUAUCCCUCAACAGACACAGUCCUGGUACCUGGGAUAAAAGUCUCAGCGUCCCACCAUCCACCAGACAGACCACCUGACCCCUUCUCAACUCUGUAACAUGGACGCAUCCUCAACCCAGCGCGGUUACAACUUCACUGUCAGUGGAAGGGGAGAAUCAAAUCAACUUGUACAUGGAAACAGCAAGCAUUAUGGUCAAACAGCAAAGGCCAUAACCUUUUGGGAUUUUUUUUUAAACUACUCUAGGGACUGUUGUAAUUUUCUCAUAUGGUGCUGGAAAUGGCUGGGCUUUGUAAUAGUUGAAGUGUUUUCGUGGUAGCGUGAGCAUUAGGUGAUGUGGCUGGAGGAGAUCUGCCGUUGCUCACUGACUUCCGCUGUAACACACUUUCCUUACGGAGCCUGGCUGUUUCACAGUAUUUCAUGAAUUUACCCACACAGGUGUGAACCUCCUUGAGCAAUCAGGAGGCACAUGGAGAACUAAAUCUUUUGUAGUAGCUGAGAUCUGCAAUAUAUAACUGACGGGACAGUCAAAGGGCAAUGUUUUUCUGUAACAUAUUGGAAAAAGAAAAUGCAGUUAUGUUCCUUUUUUAUUUUUUCUUUUAGCUUGGUUUGGUUCAGCAGUCAGCAGUUCAAUCUAUAACGUGGCCCUCAAGGACAGUGAACCCACUCGCGUUGCAGAGCAAUUCCGAAAAUGGCAAACUACUACUACUACUAUUCAGUUUUUUAAAAGUUUUGAAAUGCUGCACUUACAUUUAAAAAAAAACAUUUUUUCAACAAUUUCAACAAUGACACACAAAUUCACAUGGAAAUGGGGAAGAUGGUCUGUUUUGACAGAAACUGACAGGAAUCAAUCAAAACAAUCGAAUUUUGAAUUGAGUAAAGUGCAAUUUCAUUGGAUAGCUAAAUAUCUUUGUAAGAUAGAGAUUGUUGAAAAUUCUAUUUUUGUUUUUCAAGUCCUUCCACCCCAGGACUCUAAAUUAUCGGGGUAAAAAACAGCCUUGCAAGAAAAAGGGGAGCUAUUUUUGCUUUUUAUGUUUUUUAUUGUUAAACUUGUAUCCCUUUAAAAACUGAAGGAAAAUUUAAAAAAAAAACAAAAAAACAAAUCUAAUGGUGCUUUUACCACAAUAUGUUAACUACAUUAAAUGCUAAUUAAUUAUUUUCUGUUAUCAAAGCACAUAACUAAAAUGAAAUCAUGGUAUCUGUUAAUUUUAUAAGCUAGAAGUCACUAUAAUGGAUUAUGCCAAUUCUGAAAAAUUUUAUGUGUAUCCAGCAACAUAGCAUUUAUCAAUUAUCAGACACUUCAUUGUACCAGAGAUUGUCCAGAAAUUUUAAAGACCUUUGCGCCCCUGAACUGGGCUAUGGGGAAAAAUAAUAAUAAUAAUAAUGAAACCAAUACUGACACAAAUGCUGGUGCCCACUCAGAUCAAGGGUACUUGUUAGGGAAAAAAGUUUGCACCCCCAAAUGUCCUGUAUCUUAUGUAAAAAAAAAACACAAAAAAUAAGAAAAAAUAACAAAAAAAAGUGCAAGUGAUUUUUCUACCAGACAGUGAAGCACCCCUUUGCUUCCCAUGCAACUUCAAGAUUUCCUAUACUAUACAUAUAUAUACGUUCUGGUUGGCAAGCCCUGCUGAUCAGAGAAAGUCUCUGCAUGUUCUAGUGUUAGUAACUAAUUUUUAUAUAGUUAAUGUAGAAUAAAGUAGAGUGCAUUAAGACACAAUAUUGUAAUCCCUACUCUAGGCACUUGCCUUUAAACUAUGUUUUUCAGCCCUUCAGAAGGGUUCUACUACUGUCCUAUACAAUCAAGUAACUGAAAUUCUUGGGAAGACACUUUGCUCCUCAUCUUUCCCCCCAAACAAUGUUGUUUUGUUUUGUUUUUUUUCCUUAAUUUGCACGAAAACAAAAAUUCCAUAUCAAUGUGCCUUGCCCUGGAUAGCGAUUAUUUGUGGAAUUGUUGCACAUGCUCCUCUAUUGAAAGGGGUUUUUCCCUAGUCAAGCAUUUGGAGACACUUUUUGUAAAUGUGACUUUUAUGUCAGCCAUUGUCAGUUUCAACAUCUAGAACUAAAUAGAAAGUUAGUUGUUCCGCAGAUAGGAGUAGUCUUUAUUGUCCUCUGUGGUCAGUGGCAGUGCUAUUCUGAGAUCUGUAGAUGCUUAGAAUAUCAGUAUUUUGGAUGUUGCUGCAUUUUACAAUUUAUUUGGAGUCUUCCUUUAUUUUCCCCCCAGAUAUAUGAAAAUAUGCAAUACCUGCUUAUAUCGUGUAGAAAAGCUUAGCGAUUAUUAAUUUUUCUUUUAUUUUUUUUAUUUGACCAAAGUCGGUGCUGCACUUGACGCAGUGUGUUUUAGGUGUUUGUCUUUGUACCUUUUUUGUGAUUUUUGAAUGCACGUGCGCAGGAAGGGCUCCUCUUAGAGAAGCAGUCAAACUGUGAAGCACUAAGCUGACCCUGCUUCAAGCAAUUUUGUUUUUACAACUGUUCCUUUCACAAGCAAGCCUUAAAAAAAAAAAGACAACUUCCUUUUUCUUCAGCUCCCACACCCCAUUUUUCUUAGCAGACUGCAGUCAAUCCACAUUCAAUAAAAAGUAUAUAAUGCCCAUUUUUAUAUGCACGUUUUUAAACUUCCAAGUUCUGAAAAUUGUUUACUGGUUAUCUCUAUUUAAGGAAAAAAAAAUAAAAUAAAACAUUUUGGAUUUUCAUAUGUGUCUGAUAAGUGGUUGAAUAGUCGUUUGGCGCUCUUGUAUGGUGUGAUUGUCAGUAUAUGGUGUCACUUCCUAUAGCCAGCCAGCAUACUUUGCCUUCCCCUAUAGCACUUAGCUGGGCAUUACUUUAUUAUGACAUAUGUGCACUAAAAAAAAGAAAAAAGGAAAAAAAAAGAAAAAAUAGCAGCUUUCAGUGCUUCACAGUGAAGGGAAAAAGCCUAGACAAACAUUUUGUCAGAACCUUGCGAUAAGCCAAGGUAUUACCAGUAAAUUGGUUGUAUAUACAAUAAAAUUGCACCCUUUUUUUAAAACAAAACAAACUAAGCAAUAGUUUGGGCAGUUUUAGUUGUUUUUAGUGAGCAUGUUGUAGUCAUGACUGCAAAGAGAGAGAAUAAACUGCCCACUCAGAAGAUAUGUAAUUUGUAUUGUUGUAUAGUUUUAUUGAUUACACUGAUUUAUUCUACCCUAUUUUAUAAUGCAGGACUUUUGUAAUGUUGUUUAAAUGAGGAAAAUUUCUGUCAAAUUAGCCUAGUGAAACUUCCAAUUGUUCUUUAUAAAGGCAGCGUUCAUAGAAUUGCUUUUCUUUCUCCCCCGCACCCCCUUUGGGAACUGGAUUUAAGUUUAAAACUUUCCUGUUUCCUUUUUUUUUGUAAGUAUUUAAAUACAGUUAUUUUUUUCUCUCAAUGGUAUAGCAUAUUCCUAUGCUUGAGAAGUAUAGGUCUACUGAAAAACCAUUGUAAAUGGACGUUACAGGUAUGCUGUAUUUUUGAAGGUAUUUUGUUGUAUUAAGUUUGAUGAAGCUAAAAUUAGGGAACUCUGAACAGAUUUGCAAGAAAAAAAUGUUUUAAAGGCUUUAAAACAUUAGGGAGGCAGUCUAGGGUGAUAAUGAACAGGGGUCAAGUAUUAAAUACACUAAGUUACAUUUUUGUUCAUGUUUCAUUGUCCAGAAAGCAGCAGGAAACUGUAGUUCAGUGGUGAUCAAGCAGGAAAAAAGAAACACCAACCAUCCGAGUGUUCACCUUUUUAGGUUAGAAGCCAAGCGAAGAAGUUUGAGGAAGAUUUGGUACCUGGGGUGUGUAGACUGACAGACUGAGGGCUAUCAGCAUUUGAAGGCCCAUCCCUUGAUUCUUAGACACAUUUGAAUUUUUCUCUUCCAUCAGAUGGCAUUAAAAAUAUUGGCAAAUGUAAGUUUCUCAAGUCACUCUCCAUGUUUUUUUCUUUGGGAUCUGAAGUCAGAGGCACAAACACUAAAUCUUAUCAUUUUCCCAUAUACUUUUUACUUCUGGCCCAUCCUCCACCACUAAAAUGCUCCUUUUCUGAUCACUCACGGGCAAGAGACCCUCUCCCGAAAGCCGCUCUCUCCAUCCCAGAGCCUUUCUCUUCCCUUUGAGAUUCAAACUGACACUUCCGUUUCUUUACACCCUGGCACGAACAGUUAGUUAUAUUCAGUGUAGGCUUCUCCCCACCCCACCCCCAGUCAGGUGGGCUGCUGGGCAAGCCGGCAGGUACACUUCCCCACGCUUGUAUGCUCCCCUCUCCCACAGCUCAAGUGGAGAGGAACCCAGACUUCCCAGAGUCAUGGCAUCCAGUCAGCCCCCAGGAAUAAGCAACACCCAUCUCCACACGCUGGUCUUUUCAACCCUUUAUCCCCAUAUGCUUCGCAUUCUGUAGUAACAGUGUCACAAAGUAUUGACGAAAUCUGGAUUAAGAAAAACACUUCUUCCUUGUGAUUUUUUUUGGGGGGAGGGAUUUCUAAGAAUGUCAUUUAAUGUACUUUGUAUCACGUCUCUGGAAAUAUCUUUUUUGUCCAUGGUGGUGGUGGUGGUGGUGGUGGUGGUUCCUUUCUCUCUCUCUCUUUCUAUCUCUAUCUAUCUAUCUGUCUAUCUUUCUUUCUUCUUUUUUUUCUUUGUUUUCCCCGGUAGCAGGCCUCCACAGAACAAAUCUAAAACACACUGGCAUGGUAAUGUAAGGAGAGCUUCAGUGGCACCUCACCACCACCCUCCGAGAUCUGUCCUCGGAUGGUCUCAGAAAGCUGCACUGCCCGCCGCAGAGCUUUCAUUCAAAUCGGCUUCCGAGGCCAACUUCGUCCUGAAGUCAAUGCAUGUAUUUACUGUCUGACAGUAAACCCGCUCUGCCUUCUCCACGUCCAAGGCUGUGCAUUCGUCUAAUUAGUGUCGUGUAUGUUUUCCUUUCAUUUUUCCCAAUAAAAAAAGCAGUGGGAUGAAAAUUGCUUUGAUAUAUAGCAGGUAACAUUGAAGCUAUUCCAUAGCACUUAACUGUAGUGAAUACUGUGUCACCAAUUCUGAAAUCAAUUUAAUGUUUAAUGCAAAUCCAUUACAUGGUGCUAUUACAGGCUGACAAAAUGAUUUACACAAAUGUGACAACUUGGGCUCAAUUCACUCUGCUUUCCAACAGUGUAAAUGCAUAGCAGUGUUUAUCUGCAUGAGAACUAUGCACUAAUCUAUCUGAAGAAAAAACUAUAUCAACUUUGGUAUCUACUUUCCGUUUACUUCAAUCCUUGCCUUUUUGGUCAUUGUUAUAAUGCCAGCUUUAGGACAGAAAGAAUUAUAAGAAAACCAGCAUAAUACCUGAUAUAUUAAAAUGUAGUGCCUGUGAAAUCUGUAUUAUAUUGCUCUUCUGAAGUAAGAUUUUUCUACACCGGUAGCCUUCGCUGUCUGUCAGUCAGGCCCUUCUGGCAUAGGUGAUGUAAAAUAACCGUACACUAUUAAUGCAUGCUAUUCCAUAAUGCUUAGUGAGCUGUAUGAAUAUUACUCAAAGUUAUGUUAGUCUUUUUUUCUGACUUGGUUCUUGUCAGCUAGGUUUAAAGGUAUUUCACUGAGAACGCAAAUUCUGUCUUUUCUUGAUUUCGACUGUUUUCAGUAUUUUGGAGGUAUACAUUUACUUAAAUUCAGUAUUACUUGUGUUUUGUUUUUGUUUUUUGUUUUCUUUUUCUUUCUUAGGGGACAAGCAUGGGUGUUUGAUUUCAGAAAUCAGGCCCUGGCAAGACUUUUGUCUAAAAACCACCGUUUGAAUAUCAAGAACUCUGCUACAAAGACACUCUGAGAACAUUUCCGAGAGAGGGAUGUUUUUCUGGACCCUCAGCUGGAGCUAUGCCGAUCCUGAAGUGCUUUCCUAAUGGACAAUGUUCAGCCAGGUGCCCAUGCUUGAUCCGUCUUCAUGCCGGACUUCCUCGUAUGAAAAGAAAAAAAAUGAAAAAAAAAUCCUUAAGAAAUCACUUGGCUAUUUAGUUUCAUGCACAGUUACAAUAUUUUCUUCAAAAAUAAAACUCUGUACAAACUUUGGGCCCGAUUCAUAGAACAAAGAAAUUUGCUAUUAACACGGGAUUUUUAAAAUAUAGUUUUUUGGUCUAAAUUUGUAACUACUUUCCAAAUUAACUAAAUUUCAUCUUUUUUCCCCCCAAACCACCACCCACCUGUGUUUUCUGCCCCAAUGGGUUACAUAAGCAGAUUAGGGAGACAGGGAAAUGGGGACCAGACACCGGAAAUGGUCAGAAAGAUCAGGGCAGCCACCUGCAGCUGCACGUGAUGAGCACAGGGGGAGCAGCAGCACACGGGGGCCAGGCCCGCCUGUGCCGCAUCGCAAGGUUCACACGCGGGCUCCGUACAUGUUUAAUUCGAAAGGCGUGCUUUCCAAAGUGCGACUGGACCACAAGGGUGUAUGGUUGAAAUGCCACCUCUCACCCAGCUGGAGCACCUUCGUGGUGGAAAACAGUCUCCAGACCUGCUAUGUGGGCUUUUGUAUCUUUGUAAAGGUUCUAAGGACAGAUCACAUCCAACAAAUUGUGCUGUUUUACCUGGUGUUUUGAUGCUCAGCUUCUCAAAAUGACAGAAGCUUUUGCCCCCAUUGAUUCUAUUUGUUAUUUUUAUUUUUAUUAUUAUUUUAGUAGUAGUCAAAAAUAAGCACUUUUUUUUUUUACAUCUCAACCCAUGGUCUCAAGGCCACUGGCUACUUGGGGAUAGAGGUUUGAGAGAGCUGCCACCUCCAGUCUCUCUGCCUGGUCCCAGAGCAGCCCCUCCACCCUGCGGAGGCAUUUGGCAGUGUCACCAAUGACAUACUCACUAGACCUAGAGCCAGAGUUCAUCAGGUUCUGGGAAGUCCUUAAGGAAGGUUUUCAAAGGAUACGUGCUCUCCCUCCCUCACAGCCCUGACCUCUUAUCCAGAGCAAAGUACACUGGGGACUUUCCCUACCACCCUUGGAAAUCUGUCCAUUCAAGAUACCUCGGUUUUACAUUUCAAAUUUGGUGGGGAGGGGAUUGAACAUUUCCAAUGAUAAGAGAUGUGUUGUGAAACCAAACACUCCCGUGUUAAUAACUUGGUUUGACAUCUGGUUUUAUGAGCCGGGCCCCCUGUGCCUCUAGAUUACUUGUAUUGACUCUCAUAGUUAGCCUUUUAGUUUUACUGUGUUCUGUGAAAAUUUGUAAUUGGUUGAGAAUCACUGUGGGCGUCCAUUCUUAUUCAACUAAAUCUCCACAGGUUUUUGAGCUGGUGUGGAUUAGUUUAACUCUUGUAUUCAACCAUUAGUGCUACCACCUUCUCACAUUACAAUACAAUUACUGGAAGCAAGUACUGCAUUUCCUAUGCAACAAAAAAGGAAAAAUAAAAAAUUGCUAAUGCUA